UCCAGUCUUUUAUGAUGAAAUUAUAGUUCAAUUGACUUUACUGUGAUAUCUAACUAGCAAUUGUCUUUCGCUCCUAUCUGAAUAUUUUU